rnacentral:rRNA from 1 species
AACGAACGCUGGCGGCAGGCCUAACACAUGCAAGUCGAACGCCCCGCAAGGGGAGUGGCAGACGGGUGAGUAACACGUGGGAACAUGCCCUUCGGUACGGAAUAACUCAGGGAAACUUGUGCUAAUACCGUAUACGUCCGAGAGGAGAAAGAUUUAUCGCCGAAGGAUUGGCCCGCGUCUGAUUAGCUAGUUGGUGAGGUAAUGGCUCACCAAGGCGACGAUCAGUAGCUGGUCUGAGAGGAUGAUCAGCCACAUUGGGACUGAGACACGGCCCAAACUCCUACGGGAGGCAGCAGUGGGGAAUAUUGGACAAUGGGCGCAAGCCUGAUCCAGCCAUGCCGCGUGAGUGAUGAAGGCCUUAGGGUUGUAAAGCUCUUUUACCCGGGAAGACAAUGACUGUACCGGGAGAAUAAGCCCCGGCUAACUCCGUG